AUUAUAUAUAAUAAUAAACCUUACCAAGACGUGGUAAACUAACAACGUUGUCAUAAAGUAAUAUCACAUUGACGAAAAGAGACUAACGGAUGACGUCAUCAGAACGCGCGCUGCUUGCUCUGACGUUUUCUGCUUGUUGUAUAUAGUGUUGUCAUGGUUACUUAAUUAUAAACAAGUUGUCAGAGUUUAAAAAUGAAAAGAUAAAUCAGACCCGUGACUAAACUUUACCUCUGAGCCAGUAGCAGCAGGAGUCUGUGGAGAUUUUCCUAAAGAGCGGGGUCUGGACUCUGAUUUCAUUAUAAGAGGAGUAAAUAAUCAGGACACUGGAAGGAAAACACAGAGAUUCAUGACUCCAGAAUCUCCACUAACCUGUUAACCGAGUAUCUCAGAUGCACUGUCUUAACCCUCUUGGACAUGGAGUUCACCAGAGCUUCACAGGUUACCACUGGAGUCCUCCUCCACUCAACAUUAUGGAGCUGGUGGAUGUUAGAGACCUUGUGCUCCUCCACCUUCCGUUUGAGGAUGCCCCACAGAUGCUCAAUAGGGUUUAGGUCUGGAAACAUGCAUGGUCAGUCCAUCACCUUCACCUUUAGCUUCUUUAGCAAGGCAGUGGUCGUCUUGGAGAUGUGUUUGAGGUCGUUAUCAUGCUAGAAUACUGCCCUGCGGCCCAGUCUCUGAAGGGGAUUUGAGUCGUUUCAGCAUGCACUGCACGAGCGUAAGGAGCGGCUGAAGGAAAAAGAACAGCAGCUGCAGCACCACCUACAAACUGACAGCUUCCUAAAGCACUUUCUGUACACAGUACAAUGAGGAGCAAUGGUGUUAUGCAGAGAGGAAAGCAAGAUGCAACAGAGAACUGAUUAAGAAGAAGCAGGAGUACCUCAAAGAAUUAAUCACAAUUUAAUCACACAGCAGGAGCAGCUGAGGAAGCAAAAUGAGACCAACUGCAUCUAUGCUGAAUAUUUAGAUGCAGUGGUGAAGGAAAGCAAGGAGUUUCAGGAGCCACAUGAACUGAUUGAACACUAUGAGGCACGGGGGUAUAUACAGAAGGAGCUGAUGGCUUCUGUAGACAGGAAGCAUGAAGAGGAGUUGAAAUCCCGUGUUGAUUUGGUAUAAGUUAGGCAAGAGUACUACCUCACACGAGUGAAUCACUAGGCCAGGAUCUGCAUGCUGUGGAGCCAACUGGAAGAGGCCAAAAAACGGGUACUUAAUUUGAUUCAGGAGUUCAUAUGUGACCUGAUGUCGAUUUGGGAGAAAGUGAGCAAAUCUAAAUCCGAAAGAGAAAAGAUCAACAGCAGUACAAAAUGACAACACAAAAGAAAAACUAAAUCCAACACAAAAUGUAUGGGUUACACAUGUAACUCUGUUCCCUGAGCAGGGAAUGAGACAUUGCCUUAGCUCAACGUUGUGGGAAGCGCCCUCGGGCGUGACCAGUAUCUAAAGUUUGUGUAACGUCGUGCCCAUUUAUAGGCCUGCCGUGAUCAGGUGACGUGGCAAUUAAGUGCGUCGCGUGAUAUAAAAACAACACCUGUGAACCGUGCCAUCAGCCUCUAUUAUCUGACGCGAAGACGCAAUUCACAGGCACGUCCCAGUAUGACAAAGUUACACAACAUCUCGUUGCCUUCUCAGGGAACAGGGUUACCCCAGACGUUCCCUUUCAAAGGGAACUCCAUGUUGCGUUAGCUCAACGCUGUGGGAACGAGAAUACCCACUCCGCCAUACAGAGGGUUCAGCCGGUUCAAAAAGGUCGGAGCCCGAUGGUCAAUGCAGACACUCAAGACCGGGGUGGAAUGUAUAUCCAGGCUGUAAAUUCGAAUAGUGUGUGUGGUGUAGACCACCAUGCCGCAGCACAUACAUCCUGUAAAGGUACCCCUCUUUGGGCAAAGCCUUUGAGGAGGUGACACCCCUAGUGGAAUGAGCCCUUUAUGCCCAGAGGUGUAGUGAGACCACGCGCCUCAUAAGCAAUAGAGAUUUCUUCCACUUUCCAAUUAGAGAUGCUCUGCUACAACAUAGCAUCACCUCUACUGUCGCCGCCAGAGCAGACCAACAGCUGCUCAAACUUACGCCACUGGCCGCAGCAGUGGACGUAAGUACAGAGAGUGGUGAUAAAUCAGCCCUCUGUCUUGAGACAGUACAUCCUUGUGGAUGGGAAUCUCUCAAGGAGUGCCGGCCAGCAGGGAUAUUAUCUCUGAAAACCAUAUUCGAGCUGGCCAGUAAGGUGCUACUAGCAGCAGACAUAGACAGUCUUGGCGGUCUCGCUAGAACUUGUGGGAGCAGAGCAAUCACGGGAAAAUGUUCCGAUGUGACCUUGGCCACGUGCACCACGCCGUCCAGCGCCAUUGGUGUGGGAGGAGUGAGGGCAAACCACAGCAGGCAGUGUGUUGUCUCCUCGGAUGAUAACACAUCCACUUCCGCUUGGCCAAACCUCCGCAAUAUGGACUCCACCACUUGUGGAUGGAGCCUCCAAUCCCUGGGCCUCAGAAGGAUGUCUACCCCCACAUUCCAGCUGCCCAGAAUGUACAUUGCACUCACUGACAAAAACUUUCCCUCUGCCAGUGAAGAAUUAGUUGCACCUGCCUGAAUAGGGGGUGCGAACAUAAUCCUCCAUAGUGGUUGAAAUGUGAAACCACCACUGUGUUGUCUGUCACAACUAACUCACGGUGACCUCUCAAUUUGGAAAGAAAGAAUUUCAGUACUAGAAACACAGCCCACAUUUCUAGGCGAUUUAUAUGCCACUCCAGUUGCAGGCCACUCCAGAGAACAUGAGCUGGACAGCCAUCUAAGACAUCUAAAAUUUUAAAAACUGCGACUUAGUCAUCAGAAUCCACCAAAAAUGUUUUGGAAUAUAAAGCAUUGACAACUGUUGUCCUUCAUGGACAUGGUCUGUGGGGCUCUCUAGUGGUGGGGGAUGUGUUUUGGUGUAAAUCCGAGGACAUUUGUCAAUUUAGUUCUCGUAAGAGGCUGACAGUAAUGUGGGCGUCUAGCUAACAAACCAGUCUGUGAUUUGGGGUGUAAGGGAUUAAUAAAAACAAAUAACUAAUGAGGAGCCAAGCCGUGUAAUGCCUUGAAUGUCAACAUAGUGCUCUUAAAAUCGACACGGAACCUGACUGGGAGCCAGUGCAAGGACUCCAAAACAUUUCACAUAUGUCCACAUUUCCUGGUCCCCAUCAGGAUCCUGGCAGCAGAAUUUUGUACAUAUUGCAAUUUGUUGAUUGUGGAUUUAGAAACUCUGGCUAAAACGGCGUUACAGUAAUCCAACUGAGUGACAACAAAUGAGUUUAUCAGCUUUUCAGCCAGAGAGAAGUUUAGCAUUGGAUGCAGUCUAGCUAUAUUUCUGAGGUGAAAAAAGGAUGCUUUAACAGUGCUCUGAACAAAAGAAUCAAAUGUUAGGCUGGUAUCAAAAAUUACUCCAAGGUUCCUCAAUUUACUUUGAGUCGCUAGAACAGAGACAUCAACAAACAGAGACAGUGGACCAGCUUUGAGAAUUUGAUGACAGGAACCUAUAAGCAUAACUUCGGUUUUCCCGCUAUUCAGGCAUAGAAAGUUAUUAUUCAUCCAUGCUUUUAUCUCAGAAAUAUAUUCAGAAAGAAAACAAACAUCAAGGUUUUCACCAGAUUUUGAGUGAAUGUAGAUUUGGGUAUCGUCAGCAUA